AAAAAGACAAACCCUAGUUUCCGUGUCCAACGUUUGACUGUCCGUUUUAUUUGAAAAAAUUAUAAAAAAAUUAAUAAAAUAAGUCACGCAUAAAAUAUUAAUCAUGUUUUAUCAUCUAACAACGAUAAAAAUAUGAAUUAUAAAAAAACUUCAUAUAAGACGGACAGUCAAAAUUGGACACGGAAACCUAAAGUUUGACUUUUU
rnacentral:pre_miRNA from 1 species